UACGUAGGGUGCGAGCGUUGUCCGGAAUUAUUGGGCGUAAAGAGCUUGUAGGCGGUUUGUCGCGUCUGCUGUGAAAAUCCGGGGCUCAACCCCGGACUUGCAGUGGGUACGGGCAGACUAGAGUGUGGUAGGGGAGACUGGAAUUCCUGGUGUAGCGGUGAAAUGCGCAGAUAUCGGGAGGAACACCGAUGGCGAAGGCAGGUCUCUGGGCCACUACUGACGCUGAGAAGCGAAAGCAUGGGGAGCGAACAGG
rnacentral:rRNA from 1 species